AACGAACGCUGGCGGCAUGCCUAACACAUGCAAGUCGAACGAAGCCUUCGGGCUUAGUGGCGCACGGGUGCGUAACGCGUGGGAAUCUGCCCUUGGGUUCGGAAUAACAGUUAGAAAUGACUGCUAAUACCGGAUGAUGUCUUCGGACCAAAGAUUUAUCGCCCAAGGAUGAGCCCGCGUAGGAUUAGGUAGUUGGUGGGGUAAUGGCCCACCAAGCCGAAGAUCCUUAGCUGGUCUGAGAGGAUGAUCAGCCACACUGGGACUGAGACACGGCCCAGACUCCUACGGGAGGCAGCAGUGGGGAAUAUUGGACAAUGGGCGAAAGCUUGAUCCAGCAAUGCCGCGUGAGUGAUGAAGGCCUUAGGGUUGUAAAGCUCUUUUACCAGGGAUGAUAAUGACAGUACCUGGAGAAUAAGCUCCGGCUAACUCCGUGCCAGCAGCCGCGGUAA
rnacentral:rRNA from 1 species